rnacentral:rRNA from 1 species
UACGUAGGGGGCAAGCGUUGUCCGGAAUCAUUGGGCGUAAAGAGCGUGUAGGCGGCCAGAUAAGUCCGCUGUGAAAUCUCGAGGCUCAACUUCGAGCUGUCGGUGGAAACUGUCUGGCUAGAGUCCGGAAGAGGAGAAUGGAAUUCCUGGUGUAGCGGUGAAAUGCGCAGAUAUCAGGAAGAACACCCGUGGCGAAGGCGGCAUCCUGGACCGAUACUGACGCUGAGGAGCGAAAGCCAGGGGAGCAAACGGG